rnacentral:rRNA from 1 species
CUACGGGGCGCUGCAGGCGAGAAAACUUUGCAAUGUGCGAAAGCACGACAAGGUUAAUCCGAGUGGUUUCUGCUAAAGGAACCUUUUGACAGUCCUAGAAACACUGUUGAAUAAGGGGUGGGCAAGUUCUGGUGUCAGCCGCCGCGGUAAAACCAGCACCUCAAGUGGUCAGGAUGAUUAUUGGGCCUAAAGCAUCCGUAGCCGGCUCUGUAAGUUUUCGGUUAAAUCUGUACGCUCAACGUACAGGCUGCCGGGAAUACUGCAGAGCUAGGGAGUGGGAGAGGUAGACGGUACUCGGUAGGAAGGGGUAAAAUCCUUUGAUCUAUUGAUGACCACCUGUGGCGAAGGCGGUCUACCAGAACACGUCCGACGGUGAGGGAUGAAAGCUGGGGGAGCAAACCGGAUUAGAUACCCGUGUAGUC